rnacentral:rRNA from 1 species
UACGUAGGGUGCAAGCGUUGUCCGGAAUUAUUGGGCGUAAAGAGCUCGUAGGCGGUUUGUUGCGUCGGCUGUGAAAUCCCGAGGCUCAACCUCGGGUCUGCAGUCGAUACGAGCAAACUAGAGUGUUGCAGGGGAGACUGGAAUUCCUGGUGUAGCGGUGAAAUGCGCAGAUAUCAGGAGGAACACCGGUGGCGAAGGCGGGUCUCUGGGCAACAACUGACGCUGGAGGAGCGAAAGCGUUGGGGAGCGAACAGG